UACGUAGGGUGCGAGCGUUGUCCGGAAUUAUUGGGCGUAAAGGGCUCGUAGGCGGUCUGUCGCGUCGGUAGUGAAAACUCAGGGCUUAACCCUGAGCCUGCUUCCGAUACGGGCAGACUAGAGGUAUGCAGGGGAGAAUGGAAUUCCUGGUGUAGCGGUGAAAUGCGCAGAUAUCAGGAGGAACACCGGUGGCGAAGGCGGGACUCUGGGCCGAUACUGACGCUGAGGAGCGAAAGCGUGGGGAGCGAACAGG
rnacentral:rRNA from 1 species